AAGAAAGAAGCAUAGUGGGUUUAAUGCGGUUGGCUUGAAACCAUCAUUUGAGGGUUCGAUUCCUUCCUUUCUUG
rnacentral:tRNA from 1 species